CCCCAUCGCUGGCAAAAGGUUAGAGCUGUCGGCAGCAGCAAUUAUGGUUAAGUUAAAAAGACUCAGAAAAAAUAGAAUGACAGUAGAGGAAGAUAAGGCAAAAAGAAGAGAUACAGGACAUGGCACCUUGGAUUGUAAUGUUUUAAACCCUCCCCCGUCAGAUUAAAUCUUACAGAUGCUUUUAUUUUGUAUUUUAUAUGUCAUUGAAUUUGGAGAAGAUGAAAUUUGAAAACUUUACAUUGGGUGAAAUGGGUAUUAAGGUUGAUAGACUUGGAAAUGACUAAUGCAAAAUUUAGUGUCUUGUGGGGCUUGAGCUGAAAGUAGUUAAGAUGUUCUUUUCCCCAUCUUUAUAAAGUUCCAAAUUCCAUAUGCAUAUCUAUGGGAAUGGUUUCCUUUUUCUUCUUACUUCUUAUGUGAAACCAAAUUCGAACGAUUAACAAAGUGGAAUUUGCAUGGAGGAGAGGAGUUAGGGUCGACUUCUCACAUUUAGGCUCCGACUGACUGGUCACUUGGGACAAGUUGGGUUAGGAUUUGUCUGCCGAACGGAGGGGGCUUCCUCUGGCAAAUAGAGGGCAUCAGUGGUUAAAUGAAAUUUGAACUUUAUUGAUAAUAAGGAAAAUGUUAAGGCAACAAGAUGAGAUCGGUUAAAUCCAAAAUAUGGAUCGUGAAAUAUGUAUGAUGAAAUUUAGGUCAUUGAAUGAUAAUAUAAAUAAAUAAGAUUAAAAUAUAUAGAUACAAAUAAAUAAGAUUAGGUUACAAAUCAUAAAAUUUCAAAUUAUAUAUGUGAGAGCACCUCAUUAGUGAUAUCUUUUAUGUACCAAUUAAUAAAAAUUAGUUUGUUUUUGUAGAUAGACUAAAGAAAAAAAAAUCAUUAAUAAUUAAAUUUUAUUUGAAAACAAACAUGAUAAUUACUUUUAUUGUACUAUCAAUUUGGUUUUUUUCUUUUUCACUCUCCAUUUUUCCUCAAAAAUAUUUGAAACUCUAAUUUUUUUUUUUUUGUAAUAUUUUUUAUUUUUGGGUUUUGGUUCCAACUUCCAAGAUGGUGUACUUAGGUUGUAAAGUAUUUGCCUCCAAUUAGAGACUAAGAUCCUAUCCUCUUUAAGGGUCUCUCAAUCAAUCAUACUCCAUGAAUUGACAUUUUUUACUUAGCCAAAAAUGUCUCUUUAUUUCCGGAAUAGAUACAAAACUCCGGUGUGGUUUGGAGAUAUAACCUUCAUUUAUACAAAAAUAGAAAAAUAACAACCCGAUUUUCAUGUUUAAUUAAUUAAGAUCAGAUUUUUAAUUUACAAAAAAUAAUUUAUUUAUUUAUUUAUUUAAAUAAGGAUUGGUUUAUCCUUCUUUGCAUAGAGAUUUCUUAUCCUCUUGUCAAAUUAGAUUAUUUAAACACAAUGUAUCAAAUUAUAGAUACAAUUAGAUGUCUUAAGAAAAAAAAAUAGAAAAUGCAAAUUUUGCCCACUCAAAAACAUAAAUUUAAUUUUAAAUUUUUUAAAAGAUAAAAAAAAAUUAUACUUCAAUGCUAUUGAGAAAAAUAUCCAAAUAUAUUAGGUUGAUAAUUUUGAAGGCAUCGAGUUCAAUGUACUAAAUGUUUUGAGGGUAUGGAAACAAAUGAAUAGCCUAAAAGAUACAAACAAAGAACAAAAUUAAUAAGAAGAAAAACUUAUCAGUUGAAGCGUGACAAAUACCAUAUAGAUUCACCCUCCUCGAAGACGAACUCGGUGCACUAGGGUACCAGUGGUUUACCUCUAGGAUUCAACAGUGAGAUCUCGCCUUGGGUGCACUCUGUAAGAGAGAUGUGUAUAACUCGGGUUUUGAAAAAAUUCCUCUAGAUAGAUGUAUGAAAAUACUCUCUGAAAAAUUAUAAAAUUGGUAUUCAUAUAUAGAGAGUGAGGGGUGACGUGUUUUUAUAGGUCAUUAACACAGUCCCAAUGAGACUCUACUUGUAAUUAGAACAUGAUUCAAAGUAGAAGGGGAAUCUACUUAUAAGUGGAAUAGGACUCCACUAGCACAAUCUUAAUAGGACUCUUCCCAAAAAUAUAAGACUAAUAAAAUAAAAAUUAUUUACACUCUUCCUACAAUCCUCUAUAGAGUGUAAAGGUAAUUUUUUUUUUUUUUUUUUUUAGGAAAAAAAGAAUCCAAUGCAUCAGUACUGGUGCGUAAAGGCUAUAAACCAGUCUUCAGACAAAUAAGUAUUGAAUCACAAAACAUAGUGAAAAUAAAUUUCUAUGAACUAGUGUUUCUUAAUGUAACUCAAUGGACUUUUAUCCACAUUGGUUUUCUCAACUACACUACGAGUGUACAAAACGGGUUCGCACAAAUAGGUCAUGCGCCCUGCCUGGAUAUUUAUGAGACCUCUAAAUAACCUGCCUAAGUUCUCAUAGGAAGUGGUCUCACCUCCACUCUCAUAUAGGUGAAUCCAUCAAGUAUGUUCUGCAUUUAAACAUACCAUUUAUAAGGAAUAUGGUAUUCAUUAAGAGUAAACACUCAACCUUAAUCAAUGCAAAAUACGUUCUAUCUACACCAUAGGGAUGGACUCUCAUACAAUUAGAGUUGAUAGAGCACCUCAAGUCAACAAGUGAUUUGUUAUUACCUAUAUGAACCUACUUCAUGGAAUUUCCAUUCUAAUAGGUUGUGUUACCACCACUCUUAAAUUCUAUAACAGGCAUAAGCCUUAUUCCCCUCGAUGUUUCUUCCACUAGUUUUUUAUGUAGUGGUUUGGUCAAAGGAUCAGUCAAAUUCAACUCUGACCUCACAAAUUCUAGGGAUAUAACCCCUGUUUCAAGAAGUUGUCGCACAAUAUUGUGCCUUAGGCGUAUAUGUUUGUUCUUCCCAUUAAAUAUUUUACUCUUAGCCUUAGCAAUUGCAGCUUGGCUAUCACAAUGCAUAGACACGGACGGGGCUAGUCUCAUCCAUAAAGGGAUAUCUUCUAAGAGGUUUCUAAGUCAGUCAGCCUCAAAAUUUGUCUUUUCUAAGGCAAUAAACUUAGCCUCCAUAGUAGACCGAGUAAUGCAAGUUUUCUUGGCAGACUUCCAAGAAACUGCACUUCCACUAAGGAUGAAAAAAUAUCCACUAGUGGAUUUCAUCUCAUUUGAAUUCGAGAUCCAAUUUGCAUCACUAAAUCCUUUAAGGACACUUGGAAAUCCACUAAAGCACAAACCAUAGUUAAUGAUGCCUCUCAAAUACUUAAGGACUCUACGAAUAAUAGUUCAAUGGUCCUGAUUAGGACUUUGGGUGUACCAACUCAAUCUACCUACUGCAUAAGCAAUGUCAGGUCUGGUAUAGUUCAUUAAGUACAUUAGACUCCCUAUGAUCUGAGCAUACUCUAUUUGGGCAAUACUAUGUUCUCUAUUUUUCUUCAGUUGUGAGCUGGGAUCAUAAGGAGUUGACAUUGGUUUACAAUCAAAGUGUUCAAACUUCCUUAGGAUCUUUUCAACAUAGUGCUUUUGAGAAAGUUUAAGCCCAUUAGGUGUUCUAGUUAUUUUAAUUCCUAAAAUCACAUCUACCUCUCCUAGGUAUUUCAUACCAAACUUAGAACCUAGGAAUUUCUCGCUCUCAAACAUAGCCUCUAGGCUAGUUCCAAAGAUCAACAUGUCAUCAACAUAAAGACAAAUGACUACAUAUGUGUUAUCUUCAUACUUGUUGUAGAUACACUUAUCAGCAUCAUUAAUGGAAUAUCCAUUAGUUACUAACACAUGAUCAAACUUGUUGUGCCAUUGUUUGGGAGCUUAUUUUAACCCAUAUAGUGAUUUAACCAACUUACACACAUUUUUCUCCUUCCCUAGAACUACACAACCCUCAAGUUGAUCCAUAUAAAUUUCCUUUUCCAAAUCACCAUUCAAGAAUGCAGUCUUGACAUCCAUUUGGUGUAUCACCAAAUUAUGAAUGGAAGCUAAAGCGAUCAAUACUCUAAUUGAUGCUAUUCUAGUCAUAGGGGCAAAGGUGUCAAAGUAAUCUACAUCAUUCCUUUGUUUAAAGUCUUUGGCAACUAAAUGAGUUUCAUACUUUUCUAUGGACCUAUCUUGUUUUAACUUUCUUUUAAAGAUUCACUUACAACCAAUAGUCUUUGCACCAUAGGUAAAUUUACCAACUCCUAUGUAUGGUUAUACGUGAUUGAUUCGAUUUCACUGUUAAUGGCAUCCUUCCAGAAUGGUGCAUCAGGAGAAGGUAUAGCUUCUUUGUAGGAUCUAGGGUCCUCAUCUAUUAGGAAGGUGUAGAAACCAUCUCCAAGGUUUGUUUAUUUUCUAUCUCUUUUAUUCCUUCUAGGCUUAAAUUCAGAAGGUUCAAUAGACUUGUCUCUACUUGUUUUCUAAACUUGUUGUUCACCAUUUAGUUUCAUAGGAAAGAUGUUUUUCAAAGAAAUAUGUAUUCUUUGUUUCUAUUAUAGUAUUGACAUCUACAAGACUGUUUUCUAACUUAGUAACAAGAAACCUAUAUGUCGCACUAUUCUCAGCAUAUCCAAUGAACAUUGCAUCAAAGGUUUUAGGACCUAGUUUUUGUUUUUUAGGAUUAGGGAAACGAACUUUAGCUAAACACCCCCACACUUUUAGGUAUGCUAUAUUGGUGCAUAACCCUUCCACAACUCAUAAGGAGUUUUACCAGUUUUCUUGUAAGGUAUUCUAUUUUGAAUAUGACAUGUGGAUAGGAUAGCUUCCUUCCACAAGUUCAAGGGUGCUCCUGAACUUACCAACAUUGAAUUCAUCAUUUCUUUUAAGGUCAUAUUUUUCCUUUCUGCUACUCCAUUAGACUCAAGGGAAUAAGGAGGAGUAGUUUCAUGAAUGAUCUCAUGAUCUUCACAAAAAGAAUUAAAGGGGUUGGACUCAUACUCUCAUCCCCCAUCAGUUCUAAGUCUUUUAAUUUUCUUAUUUAGUUGCUUUUCCACUUCAUUUUUGUACUUGAUGAAAACAUCUCUUGCUUCAUCUUUGUUUCUCAAAAGAUAUACCCUUAUAUACCUUGAGUAGUCAUCUAUGAAAGUUAUAUAGAAUCGUUUACCACCUCUAAUCAUUGUAUUUUUUUAGGUCUCCUAAGUCACUAUGUAUUAAACUUAGUAGAUUUGAUUCUCUUUCAACUUAUUUGCAAGAUUUCUUUGUGGUUUUAGAUUAUACAAGAUUCAUAUUUUCCAUGGUUUUCUAAGGACAAUUUAGGGUUUGAACUCAAUUCAACCAUUUUCUUCAUAUAUGAAAAGUUCACAUGUCCUAGGUUACCAUGGCAAAUAUCAUAAGAAUAUACUAUGCAAGCAAAAGAAGAAGAUGCAUUAUUAUUGAUAAUAUCAUUAACAUUCAACAUAAAUAAACCUUUGUUACAAUAGCCCUUUCCCACAAAUGCAUCAUUCUUAGUUAAAACGAUUUUAUCAAAGUCAAAUAAGACCUUCACUCCUGCUUUCCCAAGCAGAGAUACUGACACCAAGUUCCAGUGGAUAUCUGGCACAUGAAGAACAUCACUGAGGGCAAGCACUUUUCCAAAGGUUAGCUUUGAGGAGAACUUUCCUUUUGCCAAUCAUUGGAGUAGAUCUAGAAUCACCCAUGAACACUUGUUUCUCUCUUUCCUUUACAAUGGUAUAAGAAGUAAAUGCACUUCUGUUUCCACAAUUGUUUUAAAAACCGGGCCGGACCGAAUGGUCUGACUGGUCGAAUCGUCAACCGGUGAACUUUCCAGUUUGGUUCAUCUCAAUGAAUCGUUUCAUGAUCAAACCGGUAUUGGACCAUUCAAACUAACGGUUGAACCGUUGAACUGGACAAACCCUCUGGUUUUUUACAAACCAGUUAGACCUUAAUCCUACAAAUAUUUGUUUACUAUUAAGAGACCCACUAUAUCCAUCAGGCCCAUUCCAUGCCCAAUACUUUUAAAACUGAAACUAAUUAUAAGCCCAUAUUUGGUCCAAGCCACUAGGCCCAAUCAAAUGACAAGAAAGCUUAUGAAACUUUUAUUUGGGUUAUGCCUCCAAGCCCAAUUCGCUGGCAUGUUUGGCUUACAAGGCAUGUUGCAAGGUAUUUAUAGAGCACUUAGAGCACAUAGAAUUCAUGUGCUUCUGAUGUGGGAUUGGGAAUGGAAAUGAUUAGAGGUAAAACAUUGCCUCUUGGAGGGCUGGACGCACGAAUAUCUUAAAAAUUAAAGUUCGAACUUUGAGGUCUUUAAACUUUGAACCAUUGAGCAUUGAACCAUAUUUAUUAAAUGAUGUUGUUAAAAUAUAUAUAUAUAUAUAAUAAGAAUCUAACAUUAAUGUUUUUAUUUCAAAUUUUUAUCAUAUAAAAUCUUUAAAGAAAUGUAAAUAUUUAAAUUCCUGUUUAUUUUUAGAAUAAUAAUAAUAUAAUAAUAAUUAUAAAAAAUAAUAUAAAUUAAUUAAUUAAAUAAUUUUAAAACAAUAAAAUGCAAAGACAAAAAGAUAAAAUUAAAUAUUAUAAUUUUUUUCAUCUGAAAUAUAUCUUCAUUUUUAAAUAUUACAUAUUUCUAUUUAAUAAAAUUUAAAAUAUUAAACUUUAUCAUUUAAUUUAAUAUACCAAAUAUAAAAAUCAAACAUUAUUAAAAUUUGUAAUUUUAUAUAUAUUUAAUUUUUAUGAUUAUUUUUAAUUUUAUAUAAUAUAUAAAUUAUAUAUUUAAUUAUUUAUUACAUCACUGGUUCAACCACCAUUUGACCGCCAAUUAGAGGUGUCCAUUGGGCUAGGCCGAAACAGCACAACACUAUAGCAGGUUGGGUCGGCACGACCCAAAAGGAGCGGGCCAUGCUGGGCCUAAAAAAAUAGCCCGCACAGCCCACCGUGCUAGCUGUCACACCCUCGAAAAUCACCCUAAAAUUUUCACCUGGUGCUCGGUGCUAAGGACCCCUCCUUAGCCAACCUUCCUUCCCAGUCUUCACAACACUCACACACACAAGCAACAGUAAACCAAAGAGGAACAAGGACACACGAGAUUACAGGAAUUUCUUCCCAACUUGUAUUAGUUCUCAACCUACAAGAUACAAAAUUGUUCUUUGAACCAGAGGAUAAUGCUUACAACCCAAGCAUUCAGAGAUCCUCUUUCUCUCCUUCCUCUCUCUCCCUCUCAAGGCUGCAGAAGUCCUAUUUAAAAGACUAGCCCUGCAGUUCCUCCUCAGGUGGUGGUACAACUGCUCAGAACCGCUCUGAACUGCUGGUAUAACUGCCCACCACCCAGAUGGUGGCCUGCUGAGAAACCACCCACUUGCAUCAGCAUCAGUUUUGCCUCAGCCCACUGUCAGUCUAUGCAGCUCCUUGACUUGCUCACUAGCUGUCCAAGCUGUAUCAGUGUGCCUCCCCCACACUGAUGAGUGAGCCCAAGCCAUGUCGAGGUGCCCAUGGUCUGGGUCUGUUGCUUUCCCUUCCUGUGUCAGGUUUCGCUUCAACGAGCCAUGGCAUUGCGCCCAUGGCAGUUCCCUCUUGGUGCACAGGGCAUUGCGCCCCUGUGCUGUGCAUAGGCAUUCGGGUGCUAGUCGGCUGUUUGUCUGAUUCCCCAUCUGGCCAUGGCAUUGCGCCCAUGGUCUUCUUGUCUGGUUUGCUUGCACGAGGUUUAGGCGUCCUCGUGCUGGCGCGGGGAGGGGCUAGGCCGCAUCAUGCCCCGUGCUGAUGCAGCCACGGGUUGCAUGCCACACAUGUCGUGGAGCCCAUGUGUGCAUGCUCAAUUGCCAUGCCAGGAUGCCUUCUUGGUGCGGUCAAGGCUCACCCUUGGUGCUCAUCUCCCUUGAGACACCCACCCCCCCNNNNNNNNNNNNNNNNNNNNNNNNNNNNNNNNNNNNNNNNNNNNNNNNNNNNNNNNNNNNNNNNNNNNNNNNNNNNNNNNNNNNNNNNNNNNNNNNNNNNCCCCCCCCCCCCCCCCCCCCUCUCCCCCUCCCCCUUAAAGAGCAAUAUGGGCCGUUUUCAAAGUUUCUGGAGGAGACAUCAAUAUGUCUGAGGAGACAUAAUGAAAUAUUUAAAUAAAUACAAAUUAAUUUAAAUUCCCAAAAUAUCCCUCUACACCAUUCCUUAGCCCAAGUGCCUGUCUGGCUUGCCCUUGGUGCGCGCCUAGCUCGUCCGUGGUGCGCGCCUGGCUCGUCCGCGGUGUGCGUCUGACUCCUUUGUGAUUCUCACACUAAGCUUCAAGGAUUCGAACCACCAACCCUCUAGGCUUCCCUUGCUUUCAACCCAGGCUCUCAUGGGUGCAAGGCCUACCCAUGAGGCCUGUUUUUCCCGGUCUAGAUCAAGUGGCUAAGGGGCUGACAAACCCACCCCCACCUGCUGAAGUCGACGCCCUCGUCGACUUAGACCGCCAAUAAGCCUGGACCUCCUUCUCAAAUUGCCACAAUGUAACAUCUCUUUCCCAUGAAGCUUCAGCUUCUAAAAUACCCUUCCACUGAACCAAGAAAUCAGUUCGCCGGUUCUUUUUGCUAUGUCCCAUGGUCCUAUGAUUAAAUAUCUUUUCUACCUCUUGAUCAAAUUGUUUCAUGACCAAGGGAGGUGCUCGCUUUGUCUGCACCCUUUCUGCAUCCAGAUCCUCAUGGUAAGGCUUCAGAAAGCUCACAUGGAAGGUUGGGUGAAGCUUGAGCCUCUCAGGCGGCUUCAACAUAUAGGCCACCUGGCCAAUCCGCUUUAUCACCUCAAAGGGUCCAUCAUAUUUGGGAAUAAGGCCCCUCUGCCUUGUCUUGCUGCUGAUCUUCUUCCAUAUUUGGGGAGUCAAUUUCAGGAGGACCCUGUCCCCAACCUGAAAUUCCAAGGAUCUUCUAUCCCGGUCUGCAUACUUCUUCAUACGUCUGGCUGCCUUCUCAAGACUGUCCCGAGCUUCAUCAAGCAUCUCUUGCCGGGACUGCGCCAUCUUAUAAGCUGCAGGGCUGUUACCUCCUACCUUCUGCUUUGUCACCUCUAGAGGCAUCCGAGGUUGUACCCCAAUGGCUAACUCAAAGGGACUCAUCCCUGUUGCUGAGCUUCUCUGCAAGUUGUAACACAACUGUGCAGUGUCCAUCAAGUCCACCCAAUUCUUCUGAGUUGCCGUGACAUAGUGCCUGAGGUAUUCCUCUAGUAAUGCAUUAAUCCUUUCUGUCUGCCCAUCUGUCUGAGGGUGGUUGGCUGUGGAGAACUUUAACUCUGAGCCUAAGAGUUUGAACAGCUCAACCCAGAACUUUCCGGUGAAUCUUGCAUCACGAUCACUUAUUAUAUCCCGCGGUAACCCAAAGUGUUUAACAACAUUGCUGAAAAACAACUUAGCCGCUUCCUCCGCCGGGCAAGUAUCAGGAGCAGGGAUAAAAACAGCAUAUUUUGAAAAUCUAUCCACAACAACAAAGACAGAUUUAAAGUCACGAACCUUUGGAAAUCCAGAAAUAAAGUCCAUAGAGAUACUCUCCCAAGGUUUCUCUAGAAUGGGGAGGGGCUGCAGCAACCCAGUAGCCUUCUUCCUUUCAGUCUUGUCCAUCUGACAAACUAGGCAAGUCUUUACAUAGGCUUGCACUUCCUCACCCAUCUUAGGCCAGUAAUAGGAUCUGGCUAGUAGUGCCAGUGUUCUUUCUUCUCCGGGAUGGCCUGCCCACUUCGCAUCAUGAGUCUCCCGUAGUAGUUCCUUUCUCAAGCCGCCUGCAGGUACAUACCACCUUCCUCCUUUAGCCACAAGAAGGUCACCCUCUAGCCAAUAUCUCCUGAUCACACCCUCCUUUACUUGCUGCCUUAGCCUGCCAUAUGCAGCGUCCUGCUCUGCAGCAUGUUUGAUCAUCUCAUUGAAGUCAGAGAUGACUUCUGAGAGGGCUGUGAUGUAAGUGAUCAAUUCCUUCCUACUCAGGACAUCCGCCACAGUGUUAUGUCUCCCUGGUCGAUACAGCCAUUCAAAAUUGAAGUCAGCCAGGAACUCCUGCCACCGUGCUUGUCUAGGGCUCAGCUUCUUCUGGGUUUUGAAGAAAGUGUUGGCCACAUUGUCAGUGACCACUGUGAAGAUACUCCCCAGCAAGUAGUGCCUCCACUGCCGCAGGCAAUGCACCACAGCAGUCAUCUCCUUCUCGUGAGUGGAGUAUCUUUGCUCAGCAUUGUUCAGCUUCCUGCUCUCAAAUGCCACCGGGUGCCCUUCCUGCACCAAGACUCCACCCAAGGCUCUAUCAGAGGCAUCCGUUUGGACUUCAAAGGGUAAGUCCAAAUCUGGCAACCGCAGCACAGGCUCAGUGGACAUGGCUUCUUUCAGGCUUUCAAAAGCCAUCUGACACUGCCUGCUCCAAUCCCACUGGUUGUCCUUCUUCAAUAGGUCAGUAAGGGGAGACACCGUCUUUGAAUAUCCCUUAAUGAACCUUCUGUAAUAGUUGGCCAGGCCAAGGAAGGACCGCAGCUCUGUCACUUUGGAAGGCACUGUCCACUCCAUAAUGGCCUGCACCUUACCCUUAUCCAUUCUGAUCAGACCUGCACUGAUCUUGUGUCCUAGAAACGUGAUCUCCUCCUGAGCAAACUCACAUUUCUCUGGCUUUACAUAAAGCCUAUUCUCCCUCAAUCUCUGGAACACCAAUCUCAGGUGUUUCUCAUGUUCUGUUAGUGUCUUGCUAUAAACAACAAUAUCAUCUAGAUACACUACUACAAAUGCAUCCAAAUAAUCAAACAGAACAUCAUUCAUUAAAUUGCAGAAUGUAGCAGGGGCAUUGGUUAAUCUGAAAGGCAUUACCAGAAACUCGUAUGAGCCAUACCGAGUUACACAAGUUGUUUUCCCCUCAUCUCCUGCUGCAACCCGUACUUGCCAAUAGCCCGAUCUCAGGUCCAACUUGGUGAAGUAAGAAGCCUUUGAUAGUCGGUCAAAGAGUUCUGCAGCCAAGGGGAUCGGAUACUUGUUUUUGAUGGUCACCUUGUUGAGUGCUCUAUAGUCCACGCACAUGCGGAGAGAGCCAUCAUGCUUCUUUUGGAAGAUCACUGGUGCACCAUAUGGAGCCCUUGAGGGCUGGAUCAGGCCUGCAUCCAACAACUCCUUCAGUUGCUUACGUAAUUCCAGCAACUCUGCAGGGGACAUUCUGUAAGGAGCUUGUGCAGGAGCCUUUGUUCCAGGUAGCAAUUCUAUCUUGUGGCCAAUAGGUCGCCGGGGUGGCAAUUCCUUGGGGAGUUCUGCAGGCAUAACAUCACUGAACUCCUUAAGGAUUUUGACCACAGAAUCAGGGACCUCCAUAGUCUGUCCCUCCUUGAUCUCGAUCAAGGCUGCAACGUAAGUCUCCUGGCCUCUCUUCAAUCCCUUCUUCAAUUGGAUGGCAGACAACAUCUCCGGUUGGCCCUUGCCACCAUCCUUUGCCCUCAAAGCUUGCACAAAGCAGGGCUGCUUUUCUUCCAACACCAUCAACCCACCAAGGUGGGGAAUCAGGGCCACCUUAGCCCUCAGGAGGAAAUCCACACCCAAGAUCAAAUCAAAAUCAUCCAAAGGUACGCAAAGUAGGCUACACAUACCUUCCCAGUUACCAAUUUUCAUGGGGACAUUCUUGGCUACCCCUUGGAUUUUCUGAGUUUUACUGUUCACAGCUUUGAUCCUGCUGGUGUCCUCUUCCAACCUUAGUCCCAACCUAGCUGCUUCCUUGGUGGCCACAAAAUUAUGAGUGGCACCACUGUCCACCAAGGCCUUCACUUGCACACCGUUCACCAUUGCAUUUAUAUGCAUUAAGGACUUCUGGACAGGGGUCUCACCAUGAAUCACGUUCAGAAGUUGCAGGGGGUUGACUCUGGGUCAGAAUCUCCCUUGUCCUCUGCAGUCACCAAGGCUGAGAGCUUCUCUCUUUUGGGGCAGUCCUUGGCUCGAUGAGGGCCAUUGCAGAUGAAGCAUCCCAUCAUCCGGGUGGUCUGUUGCACAACCUUUGUGGUUUUCUCCACUGGUUUUCCACCUACAGCAGGCUUUUUGCCCUGUUUCUUCCACCCAGACUUCUGAGAAGUCUUGCCCUCAAACUUAGCCUUCUUGCCUCCAUCCGACCUGGGUCUCUGUGCGGUGGAGAUGGCGCCACCCAUCUUGUAGUCCACCAAGCAAUCUACUGCAGCCAUGGCAGCAGGGAGAUCACGAACUCCUUGUCUCCUGAGUUCUGUCUAAGCCCACCCUUGCAAACUCGACAUGAAGUUGAACAGCUUGUCCUCCUCUGACAUGUUCUUAAUAUCCAGCAUCAAGGAACUGAACUCCUUGACAUAUUCCCUCACAGAUCCAGUGUGCUUGAGUCUUUUUAGUGCCUCCCUGGCCACCCAUGCCGUGUUGGUGGGGAGGAACUGAUCCUUCAAUUCCUUCUUCAGAGUCUCCCAAGUGGUGAUUUGGGGCCUUCCCGACUCUGCAUCAUCUUCCAUCGUAGUCCGCCACCACAAUUUGGCAUCACCAGUCAAAUACAUACUGGUGAUGGAAACCUUCUCGCCAUCAGGAACAUGAGCAGCCUUAAAGAACUGCUCGAUGUCCCACAAGAAGUUUUCCAAUUCCUUCGCAUUUCUGUUGCCGUUGAAGCCUUUGGGCUCAGGGACUCGAACUUUGGAAGGGGCUUCAGGGCCUGAGGCAGAUCCCUGCAACACCGCCUUCUUCAGAACAGCGAUGUCUUCUCCAUAGGUCUGCAGGGUCUCCUUGAAUUCAUCAAUCCGGGACUGCAUCUCGGUUUUGAACUCAGCCAUUUUCUCCUCGAAGAAAUUGUCAUGGGACUCCAACAGAUUCCUCUGUAAUUGGAUUUCUCCCGUGGUGUUUUCUGCCCACGAAGCCACAGUGCCAUCAUCACGUGGCCAUUCUCCCAACGCCUCCUCUAAUUGAGUCAUCCUCUCCCGCAAGGCCUCCAUUGCACUGCCACCAUCCAUCUCUGGUGCUUGCUCUGAUACCAACUGUCACACCCUCGAAAAUCACCCUAAAUUUUUCACCUGGUGCGCGGUGCUAAGGACCCUUCCUUAGCCAACCUUCCUUCCCAGUCUUCACAACACUCACACACACAAGCAACAGUAAACCAAAGAGGAACAAGGACACACGAGAUUACAGGAAUUUCUUCCCAACUUGUAUUAGUUCUCAACCUACAAGAUACAAAAUUGUUCCUUGAACCAGAGGAUAAUGCUUACAACCCAAGCAUUCAGAGAUCCUCUUUCUCUCCUUCCUCUCUCUCCCUCUCAAGGCUGCAGGAGUCCUAUUUAAAAGACUAGCCCUGCAGUUUCUCCUCAGGUGGUGGUGCAACUGCUCAGAACCGCUCUGAACUGGUGGUAUAACUGCCCACCACCCAGAUGGUGGCCUGCUGAGAAACCACCCACUUGCAUCAGCAUCAGUUUUGCCUCAGCCCACUGUCAGUCUAUGCAGCUCCUUGACUUGCUCACUAGCUGUCCAAGCUGUAUCAGUGUGCCUCCCCCACACUGAUGAGUGAGCCCAAGCCAUGUCGAGGUGCCCAUGGUCUGGGUCUGUUGCUUUCCCUUCCUGUGUCAGGUUUCGCUUCAACAAGCCAUGGCAUUGCGCCCAUGGCAGUUCCCUCUUGGUGCACAGGGCAUUGCGCCCCUGUGCUGUGCAUAGGCAUUCGGGUGCUAGUCGGUUGUUUGUCUAAUGCCCCAUCUGGCCAUGGCAUUGCGCCCAUGGUCUUCUUGUCUGGUUUGCUUGCACGAGGUUUAGGCGCCCUCGUGCUGGCGCGGGGAGGGGCUAGGCCGCAUCAUGCCCCGUGCUGAUGCAGCCACGGGUUGCAUGCCACACAUGUCGUGGAGCCCAUGUGUGCAUGCUCAAUUGCCAUUCCAGGAUGCCUUCUUGGUGCGGUCAAGGCUCACCCUUGGUGCUCAUCUCCCUUGAGACACCCACCCCCCCAUUAAAGAGCAAUACGGGCCGUUUUCAAAGUUUCUGGAGGAGACAUCAAUAUGUCUGAGGAGACAUAAUGAAAUAUUUAAAUAAAUACAAAUUAAUUUAAAUUCCCAAAAUAUCCCUCUGCACCACUCCUUAGCCCAAGUGCCUGUCUGGCUUGACCUUGGUGCGCGCCUGGCUCGUCCGCGGUGCUCGUCUAGCUCGCCCGCGGUGCGCGCCUGGCUCGUCCACGGUGCGCGUCUGACUCCUUUGUGAUUCUCACACUAAGCUUCAAGGAUUCGAACCACCAACCCUCUAGGCUUCCCUUGCUUUCAACCCAGGCUCUCAUGGGUGCAAGGCCUACCCAUGAGGCCUGUUUUUCCCGGUCUAGAUCAAGUGGCUAAGGGGCUGACACUAGCCCACUUGGCCCUUUUAAAUUUCACUUUUUACUUUUUACUUUUUAUUUUUUAUUACAUGUCAAAUGUCUAUACUACUCUUCUCAAUAACUAUAUAACUGCUAAUUUGAGGGGUAAAAAGGUAAAUUAAUAACUAUCUUUACUUUUUUUUAUGUCAAAAGUCAAUAUUAUCCAUCCCAACAACUAUAUAACGGCUAGUUUAAAGGAUAAAUAAGUAAAUCACUCACUAUUAAUAUUUUUAUAUCUAAUAUCUAUAAUACUCCUCUCAACAACUAUAUAAUGAUUAGUUUUAGUGGUAAAUAAGUAAAUGACUCACCAAUACUUCUCUAUAAAUACCCUUCAUUUUAUUUUUUUCUCACACAAUUCUCUAUUCUCUCUCUUUAUAUUGUUUACAAUUCUCUCUACUUUCUCUUUUCACAAUUCUCUACAUUGAAAUUCUCUCAAGUGGUAAAGAUAUCUAUUAACUCUACAAGUGCUAAAGAUAUCUACCAACUCUACAAGUGGUCAUUAUUCAUAAAGUUGAGGUAUUUAUAUUUAGUUAUUUCAUUUAUUUAUUUUAAUUCUAUAUAUUAAAAAUGGAUCAUCAUCACCUAGAUGUAGAAAACCUUGAUUUUGGUAUUGAUGCAUGUAAUGAAUUUAAUCCAUUUGAAGAUGACGAGAUUCCCACCUCCUCUAGUGUCCCUUCCUCUGACCUUUCUCAACCUAAUCCCAUAGGCAAAAAACCUAGAGCUAGUAGACGCACAUCUGUAGUAUGGAAUCACUUCACUAUAAUAAAUAGACAAAAUACAAGAGGAGAGGUAGAAAAUGUAGCAGAAUGUAACUAUUGUAAAAAAAAAACAUAUAGUUGCAAAGCUAGUGGUGGCACAGGUCACCUUAAAAGACAUGUCGAACAAUGUACAAAAAAACAUGGUGCAUUAGAUCCUAGACAAUCUCAAAUAAGUGAAAACAAAAUAGGAUCCAGUACAUCUUCAAUGACCAUCUUUAUAUACAAUCAACAAUUCCUAAUAGAAGGGUUAGCUAGAUUGAUAGCCAAUAUGAGGCUUCCACUUACUUUUGGAGAAGAUCCUAGAUUUGUACAUUUCAUGCAAAAGUAUGUCCAGCCAGCUUAUCAUAGAAUUCCUAAGACUACUUCUCAUAAUGAUGUAAUUAAAUGUUACCUACAAGAAAAACAAUUACUAAUUGAAGAAUUUAAAAAUCAUAGUGGUAUUGUAUAUGUGACCUCAGAUUUACGGACUAAUCAAAGUAAGGAACCUUUUACAUGUGUGACAUCACAUUAUACAAAUUCAAAUAUGAAAUUACAAAAAAAAAAAAAAAAUAUUAGGUUUUCGUAAAAUAUUACAUCCUCAUUAUGGUCCUUCCAUAUGUGAUUCUUUGAUAAGUGUUUUUAGAGAAUAUGGUAUACAAAGCAAAAAUUUUAGUAUUAUCUUUGAUAAUGCUUCAAAUAAUAAAAGUGCCAUAAAUUUAUUUAUAAGAACAAUUAGAGAAGGUCCACUCAGUGAAAUAUUUCAUGUGAGAUAUAUGUGUCAUAUAAUUAAUUUAAUAGUACAAGAUGGUUUAAAAUUAAUAUCACCCUCAUUACAAGCUAUCCGAUCUACUAUACUAUUUCUUGAUUCAUCUAACAAAUUACAAGAAUUUUAUAUUUUAUGUUUUAUGUCAAUCAAUAGGUUUGAAAAAGAGAAAAUUUUGCCGUAAUAUUAGUCAUCGUUGGAAUUCUACCUACUUAAUGUUAGAAUCUUGUGUAUGGUAUCAUAACAUACUAUCAGAUUAUGUCAAUAGUAAAACAGGUGAAAUUAUAGUAACUUCUUAUGAUUGGGAGAAAUGUUAUGCUUUUUUAAAAUUCUUGAAGGUUUUCUAUGAUACUACUAACAUGUGUUCUGUUGUAUAUACUCAUACAUCUUGUAUAACACUUAGAUGUAUUUGCAAUAUAAGUGAUGUGUUUCGACAAUAUAGGGAACAUCCUCUUUUUAGUGAAAUAUGUGUACAAAUGGAAAUUUUUUUUUUUGAAAUAUUGAAAAACUAUUUCAUCACUUUAUUGUUUAGCUACUUGUAUGAAUCCAAGGGUUAAGGUUGAAGGUGUAGAAAAUAUUUUAAAUUACGUAGCUAUUUGUAUGAACCAACCAUCCGAACCAGAAGGUAAGAUAUAUGAACAAUUAAACAACUUAUAUAAAUAUUAUGAGAAUAAAUAUGGUAAUGUCUCUUCAAGUACUAUAACUUCAUCUACAUUUGGAAAUGAUCCAUUUUUUAUAUAAUUAGCUAAGGAAAAACGAUAAGUUGGUCCUUCAAGUAGGUGUGAUCUUUUAAAAUAUUUAGAUAUUGAUUAUUGUUCAUACCUAUUCCCUAAUGAAGUGCAAAAUUUUGAUAUUAUGAAGUGGUGGAAAUCUUAUGAAUCCAAUUUUCAUGUACUAUCUAAAAUGGCACGUGAUCUACUAACCCCACUGGUGUCUACUGGAGCAUCGAAAUCUUCUUUUUCUAUAACUGCAAAUAUAAUAGGAGAUAGGAUGACAAAUCUUACAGCAAAGAUGCUAUAAGCUUUGACAUGUUUGAAGGAUUGGGAAGAUGGACGCAUGAGACUUCAAACUUUAGAUGAUGAACUAAAAGAAGCCUUUAAGAAAUUGUUUCUCGAUGCAAACAAUGUUGUUCAAGAGAUUGAUGAUGAUUGAAGAUGAAAAAAAAAAUGAAGAUUGAAGAAUUAUAUGUUGUUCAUUUCUUUUAAAUCUAUUAAAUGUAGCUAAUUUUUAAAGGUUGAGUAAUGCAUAUGAUUGAUAGUUGGGUAGGUGCCAACCUAGUUGGGAUGUACUCAAACUAUAGUGAUUCAAUUCUCACCUUUUUUUUCUCCUUAUUUUUUCAUGUAAUUUGUUGAAAUAUUGAAUAAAAGAUUUUUUUUUUAUAUUUCAUUUCCUUUUUUAUUCCAUUAUUUUAAAUUUAUUUUUAUUUUGAUAAAAAAUAAACAAAUUCAAAUAUAGUUUGUUUUUUACUAUUUUUUUUUUUAAAAAAACUAACAUUUCUAUAAAUUUUACAAUUACAAACUCAAUAAAUAUAAAUGUAAAAAAUAAAAAGUGUAAUUAUUAGAGGUGUACAAAAAAUAAAAAUAAAAAUAUAAUUAUUAAAGGUGUUUAAAGUAACAAAAAGAAAUUUUAUUUAAUAAUGAAAAAAAAACUUUUAAAAAAUGACUUAAAAAAUUAAAUUAAAAUUUUUAACAAAGUGGGUGGCCCAUGGGCCACGGCCCGCCGGCACGACCCGCCCGACACGAUUAGCCCACAGACCUAUGGGUCAUGUCAGGCCACCUCUUUCCUUGCAUGGGUCAGCCUAGCCCUACACGAUUUUUAAGUGGGUCGUGCUAGCCCGGUACAUUGGCUCAUAAUGGCUCGGUCAACAUUGGGUCGUGCCUUGGACACCUCUACCGUCGGUCCGACCAGUGAACCGGUAAUUUUUUCGGUUCAAUGACCGGUCCGGUUCUGAAAACAUUGAUUUCCACAGAUGUGCUUGGUAGCCACAGAGUCUACCACCCAGUCUUUCAUAUUGGUGACCAUGCACACCUCAGAGAAGACUACUGAUGAGAUCACCUCUAUCUCUACCACAUUUUCCUUUGAAUUGGACUUCUCAAUUCUCUUCCUGUGGCGACAUUGAGUUGCAUGGUGUCCAGACUUGCCACAGACAAAGCAAUUACCCCGUUUUUUAAUAGUUAAGUUUUGGACCUUGUUUGAUGCAUUGGGCUUGGUCCUAGAGUUUUAUUUCCUAAACUUAUUGUUUUUAGGUUUAGGUUUUUCUUCUACUACAUUAGCCUCAAAAGACAAUUCUUUAGCUUUCUCAACAUUGUUCCUAUUUCGGUUUUGUUCCUCAAUCCUAACAUGGUUUAUGACAUCCUUUAGGGACAUUUGUUUCCUUUUAUGUUUCAUAUUAUUUUUAUAGUCUUUCCAAGACUCUGGAAAAGUCUCUACUAAAUAACCAACCACAAAAGGUUCGAGUAAUUUAAUGUCUUCAAUAGCUAAGUCAUUAAUCAACAAGUGGUAGUCAUGGAUUUGAAAUGAUAUAUCUCUAUCCUCGGUCAUUUGGAAAUUUCUAAAAUUCCCUAUGGCAUAUUUUUUAGUUUAUGCAUCUUCCAAAAUAUUUUCUUUUUAUUCAUUGCAUCCCAAAUUUCUUUUGCAACUUUAAAUUGACAAUAAAUAUCAAAAAAUUUAUUAGAAAUGGUACUCGAAAUAGCAUGUCUAACUUGUUUAUCUAACUUGUUUAUUUCCAGUUUCCCAGGUUGGUAACAAAUGAGAACCAUCUUCUGGUUUAUGUGUCUCAAGUUCACUACAUCACUUGUAGAGAAAACCAUUUCCUGUCAUCUCUUAAAGAAUGUCCCAUUGAAUAGAUCAAUUUUAGAGGUGUUAGGACGAGUGUGAACUAGGGAAGCUUCCAUUUGGACAUGUUUCAAGAUUGUUGGAUUUAAGGGUAUGGAAACAAAUUACUAGCCCAAAAGACACAAACAAAUAACAUAAUUAAUAAGAAGAAAAACUUAUUGGCUGAGGCGUGACAAACACUGUCCUUGAAAUAGAUCCACCCUCCUCAAAGAUGAACUCGAUGCACUAGGGUACCAGUGGUCUACCUCUAGGAUUCAACAACCAGAUCUCGCCUUGAGUGCACUCUGUAAGCGAAAUGUGUACAACUCGGGUUUUGAAAAAAUUCCUCCAAAUAGAUGUAUGAAAAUACUCUCUGAAUAACACUCUGAAAAAUUAUCUGAAAAAUUGGUAUUCAUAUAUAGAGGGUGAGGGGUGACCUGCUUUUAUAGGUCACUAACACAGUCUUGGGGCUCUACUUGUAAUCAGAACAUUACUCAAAGUGGAAGGAGAAUCUACUUAUAAGUGGAAUGGUACUCUACUAACGCAAUCCCAAUAGGACUCUUCUAAAAAAUAUAAGACUAAUAGAAUAUAAUAAAAUAAAAUAAAAUAAAAUAAUUAUUUACAUUCUUCCUACAUUGCACAUGGGCGCAAUGCCCUAUGCAUGGGACAGAUGAGCCAUGGGUGCAAUGCCAUGGCAUGAUGCUACACCAAGAAGGCUCUUAAACAUGAGCAUGAGUUAUUGCAACAACACGGAAGGUCUCAUACACAUGCUUAGCAUAGGGGCAUAAUGCCUUGUGCACAUGAAUGCAAGCUAUGGGUGUAAUGCCAUAGCUUAUCACUACAAACAAGAGAAACAUGGGGAUGGCAUGGGAAGCCACAACAAUGAUCAAACUGAUAUAGACAUGGUGGUGCAUGGCUUAAUCAAGUAAGGCAUGGGAGGGCCUUGCAAACGUCUGGUUCAUUAGGUGUGGACAACAACACCUUGGUGUCAUGAGUGCCUAGACAUGACACAAAGUUGGGAUGGGCAUCAGUGCGUCGGUGCACACUGAGACAUCAUAUAGAGAUAACUAAACACACAAAGCAUGACAAAAGAUAAUAUGAUUGACAUAGGCUAAUAGGCAUGCACACAUGGUGAUUAAUGAGAGUUGGACUCACAUACAAAGGCCAAAGACCAAAAUGACAUGGGCUUGGCUUGCAACAUUGGAUUGGACAUGACCUUGGGUCGAUUGAUCAGAGAAGGGUAUGGAUGACUAAGUUGCAUGAGGCGGUUGCAAAGGCACCUGUUCGCACAAGGUACCUAUUGGCAAGAGACCCCAAGAGGAGGCAUGAUUUGGCUUGGCAUCAAAUAUCUCUGGUUGCAUGCAAGUGUGAAGUAACACCACGGUUGGGAAUGGGUGUCUUUAGUUGGGUGGUUAUAGCAGGUUGCAUAACCACCACUCAGGUUCCUACUUUAAAUUCAAAGGUUUGAAUUCAAAAUUCAAAUGAGGAAGACUCAUCUAUAAAAGCUUAUGCAAGACAAAGAAACCAAGGGUGAGUAAUCUGGAGAGAAAGAAAACAGUAUCAUUCUCUUAUAGGAGUUUUUGGGUUCUCUGACAGAAAAUUUGUAUUAGUGUUGGUAGACUUGUAAAAGCAGUUUUGUAAUCUUUUGUAGUAAGAAAAUAUAAGUUGGGGAGGAUUUCCAUAUAUGCUUGAUUGCCUUUUUUACAUUUGCUUUUGGCUAUCCAUUGAGAAGGCUAAGAUCAGGGUCUUAGCAUUGCACACUUCAAAAAAAAAAAUUUAAAUAGAAUUUGAUGGAUUUUUUGGAUGAUGUGACAACUAGCAUUAAGGCCUCAGAUUUUUAAAAAAUCCUUUUAAGGAUAUUUUGGACAUUUUUUAUUGACAAAAUAGGUUUAAAUCUUUAAGGCAAUUUACAAACUUAGUCACCUCCUUGAAAGCAAUUAUGCAAAUUUUGCACCCUUCAGGGUCAUUAUUAGCCCUAUCUACACCUUAACAUAAUGGUUCGUAUAAUUUUUUCCUUUUUUUCCCACAAAGAAAGAGAUUUUUUUGGCAAGUACUAUGAUGGAGUGUACUGAGGAGACACUAGGAUAAGAUGGGACUUGAGAAGCAAAAACCCAACAACCUAAGAUCACACAGCCUUGGGUGUUGGAGCUGAAACCAAUCAAAGUUUCAGAAUUUUAAAUAUUUUUUAGGGGAUAAAAAAGGAGUAAGAUAAAGAAAAAUAAAAUAAACCCAUUUCAUAGUAAAAUAAAAGAAAUUUAAAUAUUUGAUCACCAAUAUUGACAUUCAAUAAUUAAAUAAAGUAUUAUGAUCUCCUCCAUUUGGACCAAAGGAAGCCCUCCUUUACCUCCCAUAGCCAUGUCCUGGGCCAACUUGUCGCAUGUGACAUGUCCAAUCCGAACCUGUCUUUUGAGAAGUCGGCACUCCUCCAUUUGGACCAAAGGAAGCCCCCCUUUACCUCCCAUAGCCAUGUCCUGGGCCAACUUGUCGCAUGUGACAUGUCCAAUCCGAACCUAUCUUUUGAGAAGUCGGCACUUACAAAUUCGGAAAUUCCACUUCAUUAUCCUUUGUCAAUGACUUGGGUUUCACCUAAGAAAUAAGAACAAAAGGGAAAUCAUUCCCACAAAUAAGCAUAUGCAAUUAGGACAAGGACAUCUUAACUACUCUUAGCUCAAGCCCGACAUGCUAAUAUCUAUUUAAUUUGCAUUAUUCAAUUCCAAGUCUAUAAACUAUCAUACAUUUCACCAGACCUAAGUCUUCAAAUUUCAUCCUCAUCUCCAAUUACGAUGACAGAUAAAGACAAAAAAUAAAAACAUCUGUACAAUUGUAUCCGAUGGGACAGGGUAUGACACGUUACAAUCCAUGGUGCCGCCAUGCAUAACCUUUAUCUCUUUUUCCUUAUCUUCCUCUAUUCUCAUUCUAUUUCUUUGGGUCUCUUUAACCUAACCAUCUCAGUGUCGGCUGCUUUGAUUCUUCCCGGAACUUCUUGUAAAUGUUCCCUUGUUGAACUUUCUAGUCCGAAUCACUAGUAUGAGCGACACAAGUGAACCUAAAAAUGUGGUCCCUGUGAUUAUAAUGAAGGCCAAUUUGAAGCACUCUACCCCUGAGCAGUUCAAGUCUUCACCAGGACUCCUUUUGAUCCCCCGAGCUGCCAUUUUCUUUUCUGCCUCUUUAUCUUAUAGACUUCCGGCCACCAGCACAUUGUGUAAAUAGGAACCCACUGGGCUAACCACUGCGCCAAACUUGUACAAUGUGGAGUAGUAUUUAAGGCCAAAAAUUUCAGAAAUGAUUGCCGUAAAGUAUUGGCCAUUGAGCACCGAAGCAAAAGCCGAUAAUUAUUGAUGCUAAGUAGAGACCAUCCUUGAUGUUGAAGGCGAUGAGGAGAUGACCAACACAUGAGAGGAGGAGGAUGAGUGUGAGUAUCAAAGGGCGGGGAAACUUGUACUUGUCUAAGACGAUCUCCGAUCCAAAGCCUGCAGUUACACUUCCAAGAUAGUUCCAUGUGCUAACCAGCGAUAUGAAAGUACUCAUGCUUUUCUGGGGGUACCCCAGUGAAGUUCCAAUCUGUCCCAAGUUGUCUACGACCCUUAAAGUCGCUCCAAUACCUCAAAUUGUAGCAAAGAAUAGAACAAACAUGUCUAUGCUGAAAAGGGCUUGAAGUAUGAUGUAGUCCUCUCCUCUGUCUGGUGGCCUGAACACGUUGGAGAAGCAAGAAACUUCCUUCUGUGAACUUGGUUGUUCCGUGAGCGAACUUGUUGAGCCUGCUGAUUCAGGCGGUAGUGAAGAUGAAGAAAUCUCGGUGUUCAACUUAUCAGUGAUGGUUGUCAACUCUGAAGUCUCACUCAGGGACUGUUGUUUGAUCUUCCAAAGCUUGAAUUCCUCUUGUAUAACAAUCGCAAAUGGUAGAAAAAGAAAGAGAAUGACUACAGCGGCGCUUCCGCCGUACUCACUCUGAGAAAAAGUGAGUUGCUUCUCAACUAUAAUUAUAAUCAUGAGAAACCCAGCAAGGCCACGAGAGAUGUAGAGAAACUUGUAGAAGACCUUGAGCUCGUUCUCCUGUCGAGUCACCUUCAUGACUCGGAUGGUCCGAAUAAAUGCAAAAGAUAUAUAUAGCGGCAGGUAGCCAACCUAUGAGCAAAAUAAGAACCUUUGUGUCAUUUCUAUAGAAGGCAUGAUAUAGCUGUGUGAUGAUUGCACCACUCAGCCCAACAUAACCCUUCAAUAUCCCCAACACCACGCCUCGGCUCUCCGGGAAGUUCUUAACUCAGGUCACCAGCGAUCCGGUGUUGGUAAAAGCCUGGGAAUUUGCACCGAUGCAUACGUAGAGACACAUGUGCCAUACUUGGGGCUUGGCUAUUCUCCGAGUCACGCCAAGCCAUAUCAUAAAGUAGCCAAAAAAAAUCAGGACUGCGCCAACUGAUAGCACAACCCAUGGGAGAGUAAUCUCGUUUAUGAGCCCUGGAAGGAUCCCAACGUUUGCUCCCAAGUCCUUGAAAAAGCUGAGUAAAUUCAGGGUGGUUCCCAGAACAGAUUUGAGUGUGCUUGUGUAGAGACCGAACAUGUAGGUUGUACCGGCGGCCGACAUUAUCAGAAAUGAUGCAAAUACCACUGACCACCGGGCAGUGAUGACUUGGAGGGAUAGGCUCCUCAUGUCAACCCAACCACCCCCCUCCGGCAGCAAUGCCAGCAACCACCAUUUCCUCUGUUGGAAUUCUACACUUCUGACAAGUUUGUGUCAGAAUAUAUUGUCUACGUACUGCGGGUAGUACACUAAAUUUAUGUACACUGAUUCAAGAGAGAACAAAUUAAGAUUUGGGUUGUUGACUUAGCAGUGUCAUGUAAAGGAAAAUGAGUUGAAGGGAUCAGAGAGAUAGGGUAGAUGGUUGAAAUUUGAGGCACACAUGGAAGGUUAGGAGUUUUAUGGGUCAUGCAAUAAUUGUUGGCAAUUAUAGAGAAGAUAAACUCAUUUGAGUCUUAUCCAUUUCAGAUAAGGGCACAUUUUAAACCAAAGAAAAUGGAUCAAAAAAAUAAAAGAAAAGUAAAAGAAAAAGGAAAAAGGAAAAAAAAAAAUCAAAUCAAAUUACUGAAAAAUGUUCUUUCCUUAAGCUUUCUGUGCCUUUCUUUCUUGAGAAAAUGAUAUUUAAUAUUUUCUUCACUCUUUUUUCUAUAUUUGAUUUUUAGGAAGUAAAUUUUUUCUUAUAUUUUCUUUUCGGAAGGUUUAAGAAAAUAAUUUUAAGAAAAUAAUUUUAAAAAAAUAAUAAAUAAAAAUUUGAAAAAGUUGAAGGACAAAACUAUUAAAUUAAAAAAAAAAAAUAAUUUCUCCCAAAUUUUAUCCACAUUUUUUUUAAGGAAAAUGGAUAGAAAAAAGUCUCUUUAACAUUUUUCUUAUAUUAAGAAAGUUUUGAAGCGUUUUUAUAUGGAUAAAGUGCAUCCUUUAAGUUCUUCAAUGGUUGUCCGAUCACUUAAUGUGAAAAAUGACUCAUUUCGUCCUUGCGAAAAAUAUGAAGAAUUACUUGGUCCUAAAGUACCAUAUCUUAGUGUUAUUGGUGCACUUAUGUAUCUUGUCAAUUGUAUACAUUCAGACAUUACUUUUUCUAUCAAUUUAUUAGCAAGAUACAGUUUCGCUCCAACUUGAAGACAUUGGAAUGGUAUCAAACAUAUGUCGCAUUAUCUUCACGAAACUACUAAUAUGGAUCUAUUUUACUUAAGGGAAUCAAAGCAACAAUUGUUUGGAUAUGCAGAUGCAAGAUAUCUUUCAAAUCCAUAUAAAGGUAGGUUACAAACCAGGUAUAUGUUUAAUUAUAAUGGUACUGCUAUUUCAUGGAGAUUUAUCAAACAAACAAUGGUUGUCACACCAUCAAAUCAUUCAGAAAUACUAAAAAUUCAUGAAGCAAGUCGUGAAUGUAUAUAACUAAGAUCUAUGAUCUAGCAUAUUCGGGAAUCAUAUGGACUCUCCUCUAUCAAAGGUGACCCGACAAUAUUAUUUAAAGAUAAUGUUGCAUGCAUUGCACAGAUUAAAGAAUGAUACAUUAAAGGUGAUAGAAUUAAGUAUAUAUUGCUCAAGUCUUUUACUUUCAUUAACUCCAAAAGAGUGAUGAAAUUGUUAUUCGACAAAUAAGAUCAAGUGGCAAUUUAGUAGAUCUAUUCACAAAGGCAUUGUCAACUACUGCAAUACUCAAGAAGCUCAUUGGAAUACCAGACUCAAAAAUCUUCAUGUUGUGCUACUAAAGAAAAUAUAAUCAUGUCUACAUGAGGGGGAGCUAAUUGAUAAGAAUAUCAUUACGCUACACUCUUUUUUUCUUCGUCCAAGUUUUGUCCCAUUGGGUUUUACUGGCAAGGUUUUUAACGAAGCAGUUAUAGUAAUCCAAAUAAUAUUGUACUCUUUUUUCCUUUACUAGGGUUUUUUCUCAUAGUGUUUUUCCUAAUAAGGUUUUAAUGAGGCAUAUUUUUAUGAUCAUCUAAGGGAGAGUGUUAUAAAAUAUGAUAUUUUGUACCACUAUGGUAACUUGUGGAUGAUCAUUCAUAAAUAUAUUUUGUAACUCCCUAUGAAAGGGAGAGACUCCUAAUGAAAUUAAAUUGAUUUUUCUCGUGCAUUAUAUACUCUCUUUUUUGCUUUCUUCUUCUCUUACUCUGUUUUACAACAAAAAACUAUUUUUUAUUUUACUUUAUUUUUAAAAACUAUUUUCAAAUAACAACGAUUUAAUAAUGUUAGGAAUCUUUAAAUAUAAUUUUUUAUUUUUAAAUUACAUGGCCAGACAAGCUGUAAACAAUAACAAUGACCUAUUUAAGAGUGUCAUCACAUGGAAAAAUGUUCACAAAAUUAUGAAGUGAAUCAAGUUAAUUCUAGCUUUUGAAAUUUAUGAAGAGUAUAACACAUGUAAAAAUUAAAAAGUUAGUUAGAUAAGAUUACUCAAUACUUGAAUCCUUUAAUCCAUCAAACUUUACAGUUGCCAAGGACUAUGAGAAUAUUCAGUUUGAUAUUCUUCUAUUAGAUUUCUAUUUAACAUGACUUAUUUUUCCAAAGUGAUAUUAAGGAUUCAAAUUAUUUUAAUAAUUUGAAUACAGAAUGAAAAGUAUCUUUCAUGUACACUUGUUUAUUCCACAACCAUUGCAAGUGAUAACUUUUAUGCUGGGCUUAAAGAUUAGAUGAGCCAUAAAUAUGAGGUCUUAGACUCAGAACCAUAAAUACCAAACCUAAAGAAUAGAUGAACUCCCCUUAAAUCCAAGAUUUGGAAUCAAUGAAGAGAAGCAUAGCACGCUAAUAAUGAAAUCCUAUAAUAAAAACAAAAACCAAAAAUUUUGAGUAUUCUAAAACAUUUAUUUUCCAUUUUCUUAAGAAAAAGGUAUAGAGAAGUCGAGGGAGAAUAUUUCUUUGAUGACGAAAAAGUUUUUAUAAGUUUUUCCUCCUUUCCUUUUAUAUUUUCUAUCCAUUUUCUUUGGGUUAAAUUUUGACUAAAUUUCUAUUAAAUUUAUUUGAAAUGGAUAAGACUUAAAGAGCUGAUCUCCGCUAAAUGUGCCUACAGUUAUUGCGUAUGUGAUACAGCAGCCUUCCAUGUGUGCCUCAAAAUUCAACCAUUUUUCUAUUACAAGACAGUGCGGAGUCGGCAGCUUCUUCUCUCUCUUACUCAGAAAAUCGUGUGUAUAAAUUGACUGGGCACCUCAAGUUUGUAAAGUGUAAACAAUAUAUUCUAACACAAACUUGUUACAAGUGUAGUAUUCCAUCAGAGAAAAUGGUGGUUGCCGGAAUUGCUGCCGGAGGGGGUGGUUGGGCUGACAUGAAGAGCCUAUCAGUCCAAGUCAUCACCGGUCGGUGGUUCGUGGUGUUUGCAUCAUUUCUGAUCAUGUCGGCCGCCGGUGCAACCUACAUGUUCGGUCUCUACUCAGGCACAAUCAAAUCCGCUCUGGGAUAUGAUCAAACCACCCUGAAUUUGCUCAGCUUUUUCAAGGACUUGGGAGCAAACGUUGGGGUCCUUUCAGGCCUCAUCAACGAGGUCACGCCCCCAUGGGUUGUGCUAUCAAUGGGAGCAGCCCUGAAUUUUUUUGGCUACUUCAUGAUAUGGCUUGCCGUCUCUCAGAAAAUAGCCAAGCCCCAGGUGUGGCACAUGUGUCUCUACAUAUGCAUCGGUGCAAAUUCCCAGGCUUUCGCUAACACCGGAUCUCUGGUGACCUGCGUUAAGAACUUCCCGGAGAGCCGAGGCGUGGUGUUGGGGAUACUGAAGGGGUAUGUUGGGCUGAGUGGUGCAAUCAUCACACAGCUCUACCAUGCCUUCUAUGGCAAUGACACCAAGGCUCUUAUUUUGCUCAUAGCUUGGCUGCCUGCUGCUAUAUCUUUUGCAUUUCUUCGGACCAUUCGAAUCAUGAAGGUGAUUCGACAGGAGAACGAGCUCAAAGUUUUCUACAAUUUUCUUUACAUCUCUCUUGGCCUCGCUGGGUUUCUCAUGAUUAUAAUUAUAGUAGAGAAAGAGCUGACUUUUUCUCAGAGUGAGUACGGGGGGAGCGCCGCUCUAGUUCUUCUCUUGCUCUUUCUCCCGCUCGCUGUUGUUAUACAAGAGGAAUUCAAGCUGUGGAAGAUCAAGCAAGAGGCCCUGCGUGAGCCUCCACAGUUGAAAAUCAUCGCCGAGAAUUUGAACACUGAGACUUCUUCAUCUUCACUACCGCUUGAAUCAACAGCUGCAACAAGUUCUCUCCCCGAACAACUAAGCUCACAGAAGGAAGUUUCUUGCUUCUCCAACGUGUUCAGGCCACCGGACAGAGGAGAGGACUACACCAUACUUCAAGCCCUUUUCAGCAUAGACAUGCUUAUUCUAUUCUUCACUACAAUUUGUGGUGUUGGAGGGACUUUAACAGCCAUAGACAACUUGGGACAGAUUGGGAGUUCACUGGGGUACCCCCAGAAAAGCCUGAGCACUUUCAUAUCGCUGGUUAGCAUAUGGAACUAUCUUGGAAGAGUAACUGCAGGCUUUGGAUCGGAGAUCGUCUUAGACAAGUACAAAUUCCCCCGCCCUUUGAUGCUCACACUCAUCCUCCUCCUCUCAUGUGUUGGCCAUCUCCUCAUCGCCUUCAACAUCAAGAAUGGUCUCUACUUUGCAUCAAUAAUUAUCGGGUUUUGCUUCGGUGCUCAAUGGCCAUUACUUUUCGCAGUCAUAUCUGAAAUUUUUGGCCUCAAAUACUACUCCACGUUGUACAAUUUUGGCUCAGUGGCUAGCCCAAUCGGUUCCUAUUUACUCAAUGUGAGGGUGGCCGGAUAUCUCUAUGAUAAAGAGGGAAAAAGACAAAUGGCAGCCCUGGGAAAAAAAAGGAAGCGUGGUGAGGACUUGGACUGCACAGGAGUAGAGUGCUUCAAAUUGUCUUUCAUUAUAAUCACAGCGGCCACACUUUUCGGUUCACUUGUAUCGCUCAUACUAGUGCUUCGGACCAGAAAGUUCUACAAGGGUGACAUUUACAAGAAGUUCCGGGAACAAGCCAAAGCAGCCGAGACUGAGAUGGCCCAGGCCGGGAAUGGGGCAGCCCCAUCGCUGGCAAAAGGUUAGAGCUGUCGGCAGCAGCAAUUAUGGUUAAGUUAAAAAGACUCAGAAAAAAUAGAAUGACAGUAGAGGAAGAUAAGACAAAAAGAAGAGAUACAGGACCCGGGACCUUGGAUUGUAAUGUUUCAUACCCUCCCCCGUCAGAUACAAUCUUACAGAUGCUUUUAUUUUGUAUUUUAUAUGUCAUUGAAUUUGGAGAAGAUGAAAUUUGAAAACUUUACAUUGGGUGAAAUGGGUAUU
rnacentral:lncRNA from 1 species